rnacentral:rRNA from 1 species
GUGACCUCMAAUCAGGUAGGACUACCCGCUGAACUUAAGCAUAUCAAUAAGCGGAGGAAAAGAAACUAACAAGGAUUCCCCUAGUAACUGCGAGUGAAGCGGGAAAAGCUCAAAUUUAAAAUCUGUCAGUCUUUGGCUGUCCGAGUUGUAAUCUAGAGAAGUGUUAU